rnacentral:rRNA from 1 species
ACGGAAGGCAGCAGUGGGGAAUAUUGGGCAAUGGGCGAAAGCCUGACCCAGCAACGCCGCGUGAAGGAAGAAGGUUUUCGGAUUGUAAACUUCUGCCCUAAGUGACGAAGGAAGUGACGGUACCACAUGAAUAAGCCCCGGCUAACUACGUGCCAGCAGCCGCGGUAAUACGUAGGGGGCGAGCGUUAUCCGGAUUUACUGGGUGUAAAGGGCGCGUAGGCGGGGAUGCAAGUCAGAUGUGAAAUCCAUGGGCUUAACUCAUGAACUGCAUUUGAAACUGUAUCUCUUGAGUGCUGGAGAGGUAGAUGGAAUUCCUUGUGUAGCGGUGAAAUGCGUAGAUAUAAGGAAGAACACCAGUGGCGAAGGCGAUCUACUGGACAGUAACUGACGCUGAGGCGCGAGAGCGUGGGGAGCAAACAGGAUUAGAUACCCUGGUA